GACGAACGCUGGCGGCGUGCCUAAUACAUGCAAGUAGAACGGUUGCGAACGGGUGAGUAACGCGUAAAGAACUUGCCUCACAGCUAGGGACAACAUUUGGAAACGAAUGCUAAUACCUAAUACUGUGAGAGAGCUUUGCGGCCCAUUAGCUAGUUGGAGAGGUAACGGCUCACCAAGGCGAUGAUGGGUAGCCGGCCUGGACGGGUGAUCGGCCACAAGGGCACGGAGACGCGGCCCUUACGACUACGGGAGGCAGCAGUGGGGACUAGGUGACAAUGGACCAAAGUCUGAUCCAGCAAUUCGGUGUGCACGAUGAAUUUUUCGGAAUGUAAAUUGCUUUCAGUUGGGAAGCGGUACCAACAGAAGAAGUGACGGCUAAAUACGUGCCAGCAGCCGCGGUAAUAC
rnacentral:rRNA from 1 species